rnacentral:tRNA from 1 species
GGUUCAGUGGUGUAGUGGUUAUCACGUCUGCUUCACACGCAGAAGGCUGCGAGUUCGAGCCUCCCCUGAACCU